rnacentral:rRNA from 1 species
UUCACAUGUCCGCAUGAUUAAAGGUAUUUUCCGGUAGACGAUGGGGAUGCGUUCCAUUAGAUAGUAGGCGGGGCAACGGCCCACCUAGUCAACGAUGGAUAGGGGUUCUGAGAGGAAGGUCCCCCACAUUGGAACUGAGACACGGUCCAAACUCCUACGGGAGGCAGCAGUGAGGAAUAUUGGUCAAUGGGCGAUGGCCUGAACCAGCCAAGUAGCGUGAAGGAUGACUGCCCUAUGGGUUGUAAACUUCUUUUAUAAAGGAAUAAAGUCGGGUAUGCAUACCCGUUUGCAUGUACUUUAUGAAUAAGGAUCGGCUAACUCCGUGCCAGCAGCCGCGGUAAUACGGAGGAUCCGAGCGUUAUCCGGAUUUAUUGGGUUUAAAGGGAGCGUAGAUGGAUGUUUAAGUCAGUUGUGAAAGUUUGCGGCUCAACCGUAAAAUUGCAGUUGAUACUGGAUGUCUUGAGUGCAGUUGAGGCAGGCGGAAUUCGUGGUGUAGCGGUGAAAUGCUUAGAUAUCACGAAGAACUCCGAUUGCGAAGGCAGCCUGCUAAGCUGCAACUGACAUUGAGGCUCGAAAGUGUGGGUAUCAAACAGGAUUAGAUACCCUGGUAGUCCACACGGUA